rnacentral:rRNA from 1 species
GACGAACGCUGGCGGCGUGCUUAACACAUGCAAGUCGAACGAAGAGCGAUGGAUGCUUGCUUCUAUCAAUCUUAGUGGCGAACGGGUGAGUAACGCGUAAUCAACCUGCCCUUCAGAGGGGGACAACAGUUGGAAACGACUGCUAAUACCGCAUACGAGCUAAUCUCGGCAUCGAGGAUAGAUGAAAGGCGGCCUCUACAUGUAAGCUAUCACUGAAGGAGGGGAGUGCGUCUGAUUAGCUAGCUGGAGGGGUAACGGCCCACCAAGGCGAUGAUCAAUAGCCGGUCUGAGAGGAUGAACGGCCACAUUGGGACUGAGACACGGCCCAGACUCCUACGGGAGGCAGCAGUGGGGAAUCUUCCGCAAUGGAGGAAAGGCUGACGGAGCAACGCCGCGUGAGGGAUGACGGCCUUCGGGUUGUAAAGCUCUGUUAAUCGGGACGAAAGGCCUUCUUGCGAAUAGUGAGAAGGAUUGACGGUACCGGAAGAGAAAGCCACGGCUAACUACGUG